GCCUGGGUGGCUUAGUCGGUUAAGCGUCCGACUUUGGCUCAGGUCAUGAUCUCACGGUCCGUGAGUUCGAGCCCCACGCCAGGCU
rnacentral:tRNA from 1 species